AUUCUAAAUGGUCUCGGAUUUCCAUCUCUCGAGGAAUUUUAUAAUUCGAAUCCGAGAAUGCAGUCCGCCGAGCAGUUGCGACCAGAACAGCUGGUGGGCCUGGUGGCCCGUUCGGCCGAGGGUACGGCCGCCAAGGGGAUGCCGAUCAAGGGCCACGAGGAUCUCUGGGUGGAGAUCCAGGCCAACACCUUCCGGAACUGGGUGAACGAGCAUCUGAAGCACGCCGGCGACGUGGGCGGUGGCCCCGUGCUGGACCUCGCCGAGGAUUUUAGGGAUGGCACGCGUCUCUGCGCCCUGGUCGAGGUGUUAACGAAACGCCGCCUGCCACGAUGGAACCCGCGACCGGCGAACCAGCACCACCACCUGGAGAACGUGUCCACGGCGCUGCAGGCCAUCGAGGCCGACGGCGUCAAACUCGUCAACAUCGGUAACGUGGACAUCGUGAACGGCAAUCUGAAGCUGAUUCUGGGUCUGAUAUGGUCGCUCAUCGUGCGGUAUCAAAUUGGCAAGUCCAAGUUCCCGCCGAGAAAACUCAUGCUCGCAUGGCUCAAGGCUGUCUUGCCGGAGUGCAGAGUCAAUAAUUUCACGACCGAUUGGAAUUCCGGCGUGUAUCUGAGCGCACUUUUGGACUACUGCAAGCCUGGGCUGUUUCCCCACUGGCGCCAACUCGAUCCGAACGACAGUGUCUACAACUGUCGCAAGGCCAUGGAAAUAUCGAAGCGGGAGUUCGACAUCCCCAUGGUACUGGAGCCGGAUUAUCUGGCGUCGCCUUACUUGGACGAGCUCUCGGGGAUGACCUACUUGUCGUAUUUUAUGAAGGAAGGCUCGCCGGGCUUCCACGCAACGCUACGAUGGGUCAAUUCGCAAUUAUCACACACCUCGAUACGGAACUUCACGACGGACUGGAACGACGGUCGAGCUCUGUGCGGAAUCGUCAGAAAUCUGGGCGGCCCGGCGCCACCCUACGAGAAACUCGAUGCCGACCCCUCCGCGUGGGAGCACAAUUUGCAAAUGGGAAUUGACGGUGGCAAGAAGCUGGGCGUGGAGCCAAUAUUAAAAGCGAAGGACAUGGCGGACCAGAACGUGGAGCAUUUAGGUGUGAUGGCAUACGCGGCGUACUUUCAGUGGGUGAAGCCUCGCCCUCAGGCGAGUCAACAGAUUGCCGUGCACAUCGAUAGCACAUCCGCCCGAAUGCAACAGCCGGCACAUUUUAAAUUGGAAAUGCUCACCAAAGAUGUAAACGCGAGGGAGGUACGCGGCGAAAUCAUCAGUCCCAGCGGACGUGUCGAGUGCAGGCUUACGUGGAACGGGGUUCAUGGGAAAGGCACCUUUGUACCUACGGAAGUCGGCAUGCACAAGCUGAUGGUGUACAAUGAUGGCGAGCUGGUGAACGGGUGUCCCUAUUACUUCAGGGUCUUGCCGUCGCUAACAAAAAUCAAAUCCCCGGGCAUGGAUCCUUGCGCUAUAGGAUCUAUCGUUGAAGUUCUAGUCAACAGUUACGGAACUAGUCAUGACGGCAUCGACGUAACCGCGUGGUCUCCGACCGGAAGAUCGUUGCCAUGUCCCGUCAAGGAAAAGGACGGUGUACACACUGCGACCUUCCAGCCUGACGAGACAGGAGAGUGGAGUAUUGCGAUAACACACAAGGGAAAUCACAUACAAGGCGGCCCCUUUACUUGUUUCGUAUUCGAUCCUAAUGGAAUCAAGCUUUUGGAUACCGACGGCGCCAUGCCCGGACAACCGUUCUCUUUUAUUGUCGACGCGCGGGGAACCGGCGGGCUCGGCGACGUAAUCAUCGACAUCGUCCACGAUAAACAAUCGGUGCCUUACAGGAUGGAGGACUUCGGCCAUAUGCAGUAUCGGGUGUCUUUCGUGCCUGGCGACGAGGGCAAGUACCGGGUGUACGUGUAUUUUAAUGGUUCGGAUGUGCGCGGUUCGCCAUUCUCCAUACGCGUGGGCACGCAGAGGGGCUCCCGCAGAUCGAAGGAGUCUACAUCCAGCCUCGAACGGUCCAAGGUGUCGUCCCUGGAACGACGAAUGAACGGAUUGAACAUGUCCGCGACGGAACGGAGCAGCCCGACCCAGAAGAUGUACACCUCGACCGCGUACAAAUCCAUCAGCCCGACGCAGCGCGGUUACUCGCCGAUCCAUCAGACGAGCCCGACGUACAAAAUGUCCAGCAACUACGUCACCGACAACUCGACGACUUAUCACAGCAGCAGCUCGCUGAACCGCACUCGCUCGCCGAAUCAUCUCAAUCAGAGCCCCGUGCAGAGGAACGUGCACAGCCCGUCGGUGUUGAAGGAAACGAAGGAGAUUUACAGCAGCAGCGCGUAUAACCACAGCAGAUCGCCGAACCUGCAGAGUCCCAGCUUCAUCAAGGAGUCCAAGGAUAUCUACUCGGGUUCUACGCUCAAUAGAUCACGAUCGCCAGAUGUGACGGUGAGCCCGACCGCUCACAUCAUCAAAGAGUCCAGGGACAUCUACAACUCGGGCUCCCUGAAGAGAUCGCGGUCGCCGACUCGUAGCCCGAUGACGUAUGGCAGUGCCACGCAGAGUCCCGUGAACCGCAGUUUCAGCCCGAGGACCGGUGACAAGGAUGCACCGUUUUUCGGCAGGCGCGGAUCCACGGACAACGGCGUCGUGGACACCAGCAGCAACGUGCGAGUGUCCUCGAUGGUGGGCGGUACGUCGAGGCGCGACUCCUGGGACGCGAUCACCAAGACGAAGUCGCUGCUUUCGUACGGCAGCCUCGAGUCUCUCGCGAAUCUAACGAACAACUCGCCGACCGCGGAGAACCACGGCGGCAGUCCGAACGGCAACUUCCUGAACAACAACUACAACAGCGCGCAGAGCUACUCCUCCAAGAACAUGACGUCACACACCGCGACGACGGCCUAUUCGUCCCUGCAGAAAUCAGCGAGCCCUGAUUACGGCACGGGUCAACCCGCCGCUCGCACGCACGGUAUCCUGAAGAACAAGAACAACAAUUAUUACGGCAAGAGCGUGGACACGACGGACGGCACCGCGACUCACGACAGAUACCUGAACAACGGCGGUACGAUCUACGUGUCCGCGUCGUCCGGCAAGAACGGCACGACCGUCGCCACCGGAAGCGCCUUGGAAACGCUACCGGUGCACCGGCCGACCACUUUCAGCGUCAACACCAGCGUGGAUCCCAAUAAGGUGUCCGUCACCGUUACCGGUCCCACCGGCAAGACCGUGCCGAUACAGAAAUCGAAGCUGCGUGGCUUGACGUACACCGUCACCGCCGAGGAAGUCGGCGAACACGUCAUCCAGAUUCUGGUAAACGGCCAGCACAUCAAGGGAUCACCCUUCAGAUCGCAGGCGUAUAACGCCCGAGCUAUACAGGUUGGGAAGAUCCCGAAUGGGGUAGUGAAUCAACCGGUAGAAUUCGAAAUUGACGGAUCUAAAGCCGGCUCAGGAAACCUGGAGAUCCUCGUAAACGGAGGACACGUUACAAGUUUCGUGAGAGCGCUAGGUAGCCAACGUUUCUUGGCGUCGUUUGUGCCACACGAAGCGGUUGCACACCUGGUCGAGAUGACAUUCAACGGGGAAGUCAUCUCUGGAUCACCUUGGCGAGUCGGCAUCAUGCCUGCACCGAAGAUGUCAGUGAUCGGUGAUUCCAUCAGGCUGGUUCCUGCUGGCAGUCCCGCCCUCUUCGAGCUGUCUGCAUUAGGCUUCAGCAGCAACGAGAUCGAUGUUCAAAUCAUAACACCUUCGAAGAGGCACAUUCCUGCGAGAAUUGACGAGGAACCCGGAAGAUCCGGUGAGUUCCGUGUCGAGUUCACGCCGACCGAGGUAGGCAGUCAUCUCGUGGAAGUGAGCAUCGCGGGACAGAAGCUACCGGCAGGACCACUUGUCGCCAAGGUGUACAACAGCAGUCUGAUCCAAGUUACUGACGUACCUAGCGCCGUAGUUGGACACGCCUGUCAAUUUAGGGUGGAUGCCAGCGCUGCUGGGGAAGGCCAAUUGGAGAUCUCCAUAAACGAGGGAGAGGUACCUAAUCACGUCCAGGUAGUGGGAGGUGGUCGUUGCCUCGUGUCCUUCACCCCCGAGGUCGCUAAGCCACAUUAUAUCGACAUAAAGUUCAACGGAGAAGCGGUGCGUGGGUGCCCCUUUGUCUGCAACGUGUCGGAUACGAGUAGAGUCACGUUGAGUUUGAAUCAUUUAGAACUAAUUCCGGUCGAGCAGCCUGCCAGUUUUCACAUGGGAGUCGACGGAAGUGGCAGCGCGGAGCUAGCGGUUUACAUAAGGGGACCAAAUAGUGAGUUGCCAGUUAAAGUCACUGGAAACGUAAGCAGCGGUUUUACCGCGGAGUUUAUACCGAAGGAAGUAGGUGUACAUUCAAUUAGUGUAGAGUACAAUGGCUAUCCCGUGAACGGCACGCCAUUUUUGGCUAAAGCAUUCAAUGCUGACAAAGUGCUAAUCGGGCCUGUAGCCAGAGGCAGUGUCGGUCAACCAACUCACUUUACUGUCGAUGCAAGUCAAGCUGGUGAGGGGAAUUUGGAGAUCACAAUAUCGGCUCGCGGCCAGAAUAUACCAACGCAAGUUACGCCACAGGGAAACGCACGAUUCUCCGUCAGUUUCGUACCGUUCGAGGCGUGCGAGCAUGUAAUCAACAUUGCUUUCAACAAGAAAACCGUACCCGGUUGUCCCAUAGUAACAAGGGUGGGUGGCGAUAGCCACGUAACUGUGAGUGGGCAGGCAUUAAGCAGCGCUGGAUUAGGACGGCAAAGCUAUCUGACUGUCAGUAACGUUGCCGGUAGCUUGGAGGAUUUAGAAGUUAAUGUUGAAGGUCGGCCAGCUUUCAGACUACGACAUUACUAGACUUCUCAGAAACUAAUCUCCCUCUUAUCUUAAUUUAUGGAUUAAUGCACACGGUGGUGGGCCCAAUGGACAGGCCGUACCUGCUCAGGUCACUGACAACAAAGAUACGACAUGCAGCGUG
rnacentral:misc_RNA from 1 species